AGGGCGCAUGGCGGAUGCCUUGGCUCUCGGAGGCGAUGAAGGACGUGAUAAGCUGCGAUAAGCUUCGGGUAGGUGCAAAUGACCUUUGAUCCGAAGAUUUCCGAAUGGGACAACCCGGCAUUCUGAAGGAAUGUCAUCCAACCUGGUUGGAGGCUAACGCAGGGAACUGAAACAUCUUAGUACCUGCAGGAAAAGAAAAUAAAUAAUGAUUCCCCUAGUAGUGGCGAGCGAACGGGGAUUAGCCCAAACCACCCAUGUUACGGCAUGUGUGGGGUUGUAGGACCACGCUCUCGCAAGACAGUUAUUGAGAAGAAACGACUGGAAAGUCGUGCCAUAGACGGUGAUAGCCCGGUAUUCUAAGGUAACCGAAGCGUAGUGGUAUCCUGAGUAGCGCGGAGCACGAGGAAUUCUGCGUGAAUCAGCCGGGACCAUCCGGUAAGGCUAAAUACUCCCGAGAGACCGAUAGCGAACCAGUACUGUGAAGGAAAGGUGAAAAGCACUUCGAAUAGAAGAGUGAAAUAGUCCCUGAAACCAUGCGCCUACAAGCGGUCGGAGCAGCUUAAGCUGUGACGGCGUGCCUUUUGCAUAAUGAACCUACGAGUUACUUUUUCCGGCAAGGUUAAGCAUCUUGAGAUGUGGAUCCGAAGCGAAAGCGAGUCUGAACAGGGCGGAUAGUCGGAAGGAGUAGACGCGAAACCAAGUGAUCUACCCUUGGGCAGGUUGAAGGUUAGGUAACACUAACUGGAGGACCGAACCGAUAAGCGUUGAAAAGCUUCCGGAUGACCUGAGGGUGGGGGUGAAAGGCUAAUCAAACUUGGAGAUAGCUCGUACUCCCCGAAAUGCAUUUAGGUGCAGCCUUGAGAGUUACUAAUGUGAGGUAGAGCGACUGAUAAGAUGCGAGGGCUUCACCGCCUAUCAAGUCUUGAUAAACUCCGAAUGCGCAUUAGUUCUAUCUCAGGAGUGAGGGCAUGGGUGCUAAGGUCCAUGUCCUAAAGGAGAAGAAUCCAGACCAUCAGCUAAGGUCCCCAAAUAAACACUAAGUUGAACUAACGAAGUCAGAUUGCUAAGACAGCUAGGAUGUUGGCUUGGAAGCAGCCAUUCAUUUAAAGAGUGCGUAACAGCUCACUAGUCGAGGAGUUUGGCGUGGAUAAUAAUCGGGCAUUAAGUGUUUUACCGAAGCUAUGGGAUACGUAAGUAUCGGUAGGGGAGCAUUCCACUCUGCGUUGAAGGCGNNNNNNNNNNGCUCACUAGUCGAGGAGUUUGGCGUGGAUAAUAAUCGGGCAUAAGUGUUUUACCGAAGCUAUGGGAUCCUAACGGAUCGGUAGGGGAGCAUUCCACUCUGCGUUGAAGGCUAAGCGUGAGCUUUACUGGAGCGUGUGGAAAAGCAAAUGUAGGUAUAAGUAACGAUAAAGGGGGUGAGAAACCCCCUCGCCGCAAGACUAAGGUUUCCUGAUCAACGCUAAUCGGAUCAGGGUUAGUCGGGUCCUAAGGCUCAGCCGAACGGUGAGGCCGAUGGCAGAACAGGUUAAUAUUCCUGUACUACCUGUAGGAGUGAUGUGGAGACGGAGGAGUGACAACGCCGCGGACUGACGGAAUAGUCCGUUAAAGGGUGUAGAUGUUGAUUAUCCCAGGCAAAUCCGGGAUAAGAGUCGAACCUGAUAGUAUACCAAUUUCCCCGGAAAACGGUAAUAGUGCGUGUAAACAUACUCCCAAGAAAAUCCGCUAAACUUAAUCUUAUAGGUACCCGUACCGUAAACGGACACACGUAGUCGGGUUGAAUAUACUCAGGCGCUUGAGUGAAUCACGGUUAAGGAACUAGGCAAAUUGACCCUGUAACUUCGGGAUAAAGGGUCCCUACCCGGUGACGGGAGGGCGCAGAGAAUAGGUCCAGGCAACUGUUUAACAAAAACACAGGGCUGUGCAAAAUUGAAAGAUCACGUAUACAGCCUGACACCUGCCCGGUGCUGGAAGGUUAAGAGGAGAUGUCAUCGCAAGAGAAGCAUUGAAUUGAAGCCCCAGUAAACGGCGGCCGUAACUAUAACGGUCCUAAGGUAGCGAAAUUCCUUGUCGGGUAAGUUCCGACCUGCACGAAUGGUGUAAUGAUCUGGACACUGUCUCAACCGUGAGCUCAGUGAAAUUGUAGUAUCGGUGAAGAUGCCGAUUACCCGCGAUGGGACGAAAAGACCCCGUGAACCUUUACUAUAGCUUAACAUUGAAUUUGGGUAAUUGAUGUGUAGGAUAGGCCGGAGACUUUGAAGCAGGCACGCCAGUGUUUGUGGAGUCGCUGUUGAAAUACGGCCCUUUGGUUAUUUGAGUUCUAACUCGCUGAUGUGAGGACACUGUUUGGUGGGUAGUUUGACUGGGGUGGUCGCCUCCAAAAGCGUAACGGAGGCUUCUAAAGGUGCCCUCACGCCGAUUGGUAACCGGCGGUAGAGUGUAAUGGCAUAAGGGCGCUUGACUGGGAGACUUACAAGUCGAUCAGGUAGGAAACUAGAGCAUAGUGAUCCGGUGUUUCCGUAUGGAAGGGACAUCGCUCAAAGGAUAAAAGGUACUCCGGGGAUAACAGGCUGAUCCCUCCCAAGAGCUCAUAUCGACGGAGGGGUUUGGCACCUCGAUGUCGGCUCGUCACAUCCUGGGGCUGGAGAAGGUCCCAAGGGUUGGGCUGUUCGCCCAUUAAAGUGGCACGCGAGCUGGGUUCAGAACGUCGUGAGACAGUUCGGUCUCUAUCUAUCGUGGGCGUAUGAAAUUUGCGUGGCUCUGACACUAGUACGAGAGGACCGUGUUGGACUGACCUCUGGUUUACCGGUUGUGCCGCCAGGUGCAUUGCCGGGUAUCUAAGUCGGGAUUGGAUAAGUGCUGAAAGCAUCUAAGUACGAAGCCAGCCACAAGAUUAGAUUUCUUUCAGGGUCGUUGUAGACUACAACGUUGAUAGGACGCAGGUGUACAGGUGGUAACAUCACAGCCGAGCGUUACUAAUUGCCCGAUGACUUUCUUUU
rnacentral:rRNA from 1 species